GGAGGCGUGAAUGCCGGGCGGAGCCGUACGAGGAAGAGGAGGAGGCCGAGGCGGGCGAAGCUUCACGUCAGCUCCAGGAUCACUGUCAGGUGUUUUAACCCAGGUUGAACCCCACCAAGCCAAAUCGGAUGCGACAGAUGGAGUCAGCUUCGCGUUUCCGAAUGAGCCAGGUCUUUUGCACGGAAAAAAUUAAGGAGCCGGGGGGGGAAGCGCGUUCCCCUGCGAAACGAGGGCCGGCGAGGUUCGCACGGGCUCAAUUCGCCGCCGAUAUCAUCCCUCCGACACCGGCUGAAACUCCCGCUCCCUCUUUGCACGGCCCCCUCCAAGCAGAUACGACCGACUAUCAAUAGCUGCCUGGCUCCUCGCCACCGAGCCCAAAGACGGAUACGGAAAACUCUCCGCUCGCCGCUGAUGCUACUUUCUGCAAAAUUCCCGUUUUGGGGUCCCAAAACGCCCGGCAAGAGCAUCCGAGCCUCAGCGCCGGCGCACGCGGCAGGGGAGGCCGAGGCGCCGCUGUUAAUAAAAUGUAACGAAGCGUGG